UUUUCUUCUCUUUGGAGGGUGUAUCAGUCAGUUCAUCAAGUUUAAAAGAUGGCCUUAUCAACGGAUAGCAGUUAUCUGCUUUAUACUGUCAGAUCUCAACUUCGUAGAGCAAAUCAGCAAGAAUCACGUAUUAUGAAAAUGCGCUGUCUCACACACAGAACCAACAGCAUGGAAUCAUACAUGACCUAGACUGGGAGACAAAACCACGGCAUCCUCACUAGUAUCUGACUCCUGCCUCCCUCCCCAGCCUCACUGGGAACCACUCUCCCCUUGCUCAAUAUACUGUAGUCUCUCUGGGUAACAUUCUGCUUCUCGAUAAGCAUUCUAAGCUCUUCUCUGCCUCAGGGUCUUUGCACAUGCUUCUCCUGCCUGGAAAGCUCUUCUGGCGGUUCACAUGUUGAGCUUCUCCUUGACCUUCAGACCUUGCCUUCAAUGCCAACUCUUCUGAGAAGCCUUUCCUGACCACCCUAUACAUUAGGGCAGAAUAAUACCCCUCCUUCAAAGAUAUCAACAUCCCAGUCCCAGGAACCUGUGAGUUUCCUGCAAAGGGGAAUCAAGGUUGCAGAUGGAAUUAUGUUUGCUAAUCAACUGAUUUCAUGACAUCAUCCUGGAUUAUCUGGGUGGGCCCAGUGUAAUAGUAAGGAUCCUUAAAUGUGGAUGGUGACUACAGCCAUAAAAUUAAAAGAUGCUUGCUCCUUGAGAAGAAAAGCAAUGACAAACCUAAGCAGCAUAUUAAAAAGCAGAGACAUUACUUUCCUAGAAAGGUCCGUGUAGUCAAAGCUAUGGUUUUUCCAGUAAUUGUGGACGGAUGUGAGAGUUGGACGAUAAAUUAAGCUGAGCACUAAAGAAUUGAUGCCUUUGAAUGGUGGUGUUGGAGAAAACUCUUGAGAGUCCCUUGGAGAGCAAGAUCAAGCCAGUCAAUCCUAAAGGAAUUCAACUUUGAAUAUUCAUUGAAAGAACUGAUGCUGAAGCUGAAGCUCCAAUGUUUUGGCCACCUGAUAUGAGAGCCAACUCAUUGGAAAAGACCCUGAUGCUGGAAAAGACAGAAGGCAGGAGGAGAAGGGGGCAACACUGGAUGAGAUGUUUGGAUGGCAUCACCGACUCAAUGGACUUAAGCUUAAGCAAACUCCAGGAGAUAGUGAGAACGUGAAGCCUGGUGUGCUGCAGUCCAUGGGAUCGGAAGGAGCUGGACACGACUGAGUGAACGACAAAAACAGGGAUGAGACAGGCAGAGGAGUCAGAGCUGAGAGAUGGCACUGUGAGAAACUCUUGACUGACCAUCGCAGAGUCUGAAGAUGGAAGCAGGUGCCAAGAGCCAAGAAAUAUGAGUGACCUCUAGAAGCUGGAAAAGGCAAGGAUGCUUAUUCUCUCCUGAAGCCUCUAGAAAGGAGUACGUAUCUGCCAACACCUUGAUUUUAGUGCAGUGAGAUGCAGCUUGGACUUCUAACCCCCAGAACCAUCAGAUAAUAUAUCUGUGUUGUUUUUUUUAAUUUAUAUGUAGUUAUUUGACUACACUGUCUUGGUUGUGGCAUGCAAGAUCUUUAGUUGCUGCAUAUGAACUCUUAGUCGUAGCGUAUGGAAUCUAGUUCCCUGAACAGGGAUUGAACCCAGGCCCUCUGCAGUGGGAGCUCACAGUCUUACCACUGGACCAUCAGGGAAGUCCCAUAUCUGUGUUGUUUCAAGUCACUAAGUUUGUAGCACUUUGUUACAGCCGCCAGAGGAAACCUAUACAGACCUUAACCUCAGUGCCAACCCCUGAGAAGCCUCCUCUGACCACCAGAUCCAGAGUAGCGCCCCCUCCCUCAUCCAGUUACUCUCUCAAGCAUCUCUGUGUGCUAAGCACUGUUGUAGGCACUGGGGAUAACAGCAGUGAGCAAGACAUUAAAAAUCCCUUCCCUCAGGACUUCCCGGGCAGUCCAGUGGUUAGGAUUCUGGGCUGCCAAUGCAGGGGGCCACAGGUUCAAUCCCUGAAUGGGUAACUAAGAUCCCACAUGCUAAUGGUAAGGCCAAAAAAUAAAAUAGAAACUGAAAAAAGAAAAAAACAAAAACAAAAACCUUGCCCUCACAGAGCCUGCACAAGGGGGCAGGCAGGGAAACACAAUAAACAAAUGAGAAAAAUAACGGGUGGAGGGAGGGGCCAGGCAGAGGAGAAAAAGCAGGAUAGCAAGUGAGUGGCCCGCGCAGCCAACUUCAUCAUGCAAACCGGUGCCUCUGAGAGUGGAAGUGACACCAUUAACAACCGUGCUGGCCAAACAGGCACCAACCUGCUGCGUCUCGGUGCAGGGUCGCUGGGAGCUGGACCACAGUGGCUGAAGGAGGGAGUAGGGGUCUGGAGGCAAGGACCGGGUGUGGUGUGGCCUUGUAGGUCAGGGUGAGAAGGCUGGCUUUUACUCCAGGAGAGGUGGAAAGUCAUGGGAGAGUUUUGAGCAGAAUACUGUGGGUUUAUGUUUAAAAGGGUUUCCCUCGCUAGCAUGGUGAGAACUGACCCUCAGGGCAAGAGGGCAGAGGCAGGAGGCUGGUAAAGACUCCUGGGAUGCCCAGGGGCCACAGAGUCUGAUGACAGAGAUGAGAGGCUGUCUUCAGACCGGAAGUGGGGUGAGGGAAAGGGAAGCCGAGGAUGACAGCUCGUCUCCUGCAGGGACUUCCCAAGUGUGUGAGUUUCUGACCCCUUUGUCUUCCCCCUCUGUGUAGAUGGAAGAUCCAUGGGGUGGGGAGCCUGUCUGGCGUGCUCAGCAUCUAGCUGUCAGGAGUAAAAUACCAUGCUUUUGUGCCAAUAAAAUAAAUGGUUUGCCCAAAUCAUUGUUUUCUCAGGAGCAAAGUCCAGGUCGUCCAACACCACAUCCAUAGCACCUGGCUGUAGAUUCAUUGCCUCCCUGCUUCACAUCCUUGGGCCGUUUGCUUGCCUUUGUUUGAAACCUGGUGCAUGGGGAAGUAAGAGCCUUGGAAGUGCUGGGGUUAGAAAGCACAGUUACAAGUGAUCGGGAAUUAAUUUCACAAGGAAAAGCUCUGAGUGCUCCUGAUGUGAGAAAGGGCACUGCACUGGGUUGGACCCCAAAGAAUCAGGAGCAUCACCUCUGUUCCCACCAUCAGGACUGAUGGGACACCGAGGACAAGUCUUCUGAACUUCUUGCUUUCAUCACCACUUCACAAGGGAAGACGGUCUUGCCAAGCAGUUAUUUGUGCUAAUAAUUCAAGAGGAAAGCAGGCAUUUUCUGAAUUGCC
ensembl:lncRNA